UACGUAGGGGGCAAGCGUUGUCCGGAAUGACUAGGCGUAAAGGGUACGUAGGCGGCUAGGUAAGUCAGAUGUGAAAGGCAUGGGCUCAACCCAUGUAAGCAUUUGAAACUGCUUAGCUUGAGUUAAGGAGAGGAAAGUGGAAUUCCUGGGGUAGCGGUGAAAUGCGUAGAUAUCAGGAGGAAUAUCAGUGGCGAAGGCGACUUUCUGGACUUAUACUGACGCUGAGGUACGAAAGCGUGGGGAGCAAACAGGAUUAGAUACCCUGGUAGUCCACGCCGUAAACGAUGAGUGCUAGGUGGCGGGGGUCAAACCUCGGUGCCGGAGUUAACACAUUAAGCACUCCGCCUGGGGAGUACGUGCGCAAGCAUGAA
rnacentral:rRNA from 1 species